UUGUACAUAGUAACGAGUCCCCCUCACCCUUUUUAACAAUAUGGGGAAAAGUUAAAGAGAUCGUGAAGUAUUAUAGUUUUCACUCAAAAGCUAUUUCAAAAAACUUUCGAGGAUGAGGUCUGCAGCUGAAUUUCUCGCUACAAUUGGAGUCGCCCUGAUGUGUCUGCUGGUAACAACAUCAGAAGGGCAACCUUUAAUGGGAGAUUGGGGUUAUGUGCGACCGAUUUCUCAAGAGUUCCAAGACAAUAUGUUGUCGGACAACAACUACGCAGAUCUGGCUGACAUUCUUCUCGACUUGGGAUGUGACUUCCAAACUGUUUUCGUACAGAGUAUAGCAUUUAAUUUUGCUGAUAAUUCUGACGAGGCAGUGCUUGAAGCGAAGUGCGGCUCUCAGCACAAAUGGAUAUAUGGGACGAGUCUUCUUAAGGACGUUGAGAGUGUUUUCUCAGAUGAUCCCAUUGUCUAAGGAUUUCUGCGCAACCAUUGCA